GACAGAGGGUGCAAACGUUGUUCGGAAUUACUGGGCGUAAAGCGUGUGUAGGCGGCUAGGUAAGUCGGAUGUGAAAGCCCCGGGGCUCAAACUCGGGAAGUGCACUCGAUAACUGCUUAGCUCGAGUACCGGAGAGGUUGGUGGAAGUUCUCGGUGUAGAGGUGAAAUUCGUAGAUAUCGAGAGGAACACCGGUGGCGAAGGCGGCCAACUGGACGAGUACUGACGCUGAGACACGAAAGCGUGGGGGAGCAAACAGG
rnacentral:rRNA from 1 species